rnacentral:ncRNA from 1 species
UACCUGGUUGAUCCUGCCAGUAGUCAUAUGCUUGUCUCAAAGAUUAAGCCAUGCAAGUCUAAGUACGAGCUCUCGUACAGUGAAACUGCGAAUGGCUCAUUAAAUCAGUUAUGGUUCAUUUGAUCGUACAGUUUACUUGGAUAACUGUGGUAAUUCUAGAGCUAAUACAUGCGAGAAGCGCCGACCUCGCGGGAGGCGUGCAUUUAUCAGACCAAAAACCGGCCGCGUCUUCGGGCGCGUUCGCCUUGGUGACUCUGGAUAACUUUGCGGAUCGCACGGUCUAGCACCGGCGACGGAUCAUUCAAGUGUCUGCCCUAUCAACUUUCGUCGGUACGGUAUUUGCCUACCGAGGUUCUUACGGGUGACGGGGAAUCAGGGUUCGAUUCCGGAGAGGGAGCCUGAGAAACGGCUACCACAUCCAAGGAAGGCAGCAGGCGCGCAAAUUACCCAUUCCCGACGCGGGGAGGUAGUGACGAAAAAUAACAAUGCAGGACUCGUUCGAAGCCCUGUAAUUGGAAUGAGUACACUUUAAAAGCUUUAACGAGUAUCCAUUGGAGGGCAAGUCUGGUGC